rnacentral:snoRNA from 1 species
GCCCUCUCAGGGUCACACCCGGAGAGUUUCCAGUACUUUACCAGUCUUGGCUAUGAGAGGGAGAGUCAAGCAGAGGCAUACCCAUUCCAUUCCUAGCUUGGCUGGUGGCUAAUGAGUGGAAGGCAAUCUGUUACAAGU